UGCUGGAUAUUAAAUUGUCACACCAGAGAAAGCCAAACGACUGAAUUUAUUCUUCGAAGAUUUAUUUUUACAGGAGUAGUUCAUUUUCAUCUUGCCUCUACUGCUGAUUCAGAAUUAACGUACAAAGAACUUGUGAUUCUAGGAUUUUCGAACUCGAUGGAAAAUAGUGGAUGAUUCACGGUACGAAAUUUCAUUGAAAUCGUCGAGUCGAAUCCUGGACGAACAGCAGAGUCGAAUGGUAUGGCUUCGAUUCGAUGGAUUUUUGAGAACCAAUCAAAUGAUAUUGGCGAGGAAAACGCAUCAAUGGUCGAGGGAACAUCGAUUCGGGUUUGGUGACCGGAUAUCAGGAACAUUAAAAUUGAGAAAAUCGACAUUUUGGACACCUCGAGCUGAGCUUCACCUUCGAGCCAACGUCACUGAUGAUAAGCUAUGCUGGAAGAGCCUGUACGUGUAAAUCUAUGUACUCACCCUUCAGCACUCUCGGGUACAAGAUGCUGAGAGGAAAAGUUGACUUUUGCUCCUGUCAAGUUCUUUACAUGCUGCUCGAAGUCGUCUUCGCGGGUCGGCUCACGACUGUGAAUCCGUUCUCCGAAUUGUCAGAGAGUCUGCUUUAUGAAAGGAAAAAAAGCAUGCAUCGAUAACGGUGGUAUUGCUGCGAGGAUAAAGGAGACUGGAAUCUUUGAAAAACGUAGAAGCACCGGAAGGAGGAGAGAGAGAGAGAGAAUCAUGAAAAUUCUCUCGGUGUAAUACACCAGGCGUGUCACGUGACUUUACAUUCCAAAACUCUCAUGCUGGCUUUAUCCCUUUGAAUUCUCAGUACGUUUUAUCCAACAAGAAAUAAAUGGAUCCGUGUUUCGAUGCUUUUUUUUCAAGUUACUACAAGAAUUCUGCAAAGCUGCUGCUCUCUGAACAGUCGUUUGGCUUUGAUAUGGAGGCGAAUCGGACACGCUGUCGGAGCUUUCUUUUUUUGAAUAAAAUACUUUUUUCUUUCUUCCCUCCAAUCCUUACAAUCGGAAUUAUUUACUGGAGGAAUAAUGAAUUCGCGGAGGGUCGUACCCCAUUGAAAUUGAAGGGAGAGGUCGGUUUUGCUUUCCAUUUCUUCCACUCCACUUCUCUCAUCUCCCUCUCUCUAUCUCUCCUUCUACACUUUUCAACGAUUAUCGAUAUACGCUCGUUGGCCAAUUUUUCAUUCCACCUUUUUGCCUACUUCUUGUGAAUUUCGACUUUCUGUACCUGUGCAAAAAAGCAUCGAAGCUUUUUGCGUCUCCUGCCCUAAGGUUUACUCAAUUUCCUUGGAUUCUGAAUUUUCUCAUACAUUAUAAUAAUGAUUUUUCCAAAUUUUUUCUAAUUUUAUUUCUCAUGUCAACUUGAAGCUACGGCUGUAAGGUUUCCAGUGAUUUUCAUUCUAUGAAAUCGUUGAAUUUUUAUACAAUUAAAUAAAUCAUGCGAAAUAUCAGUGCAUUCAUGUUUCCAUCGAUUUUCAAAUACUCCAGAAAGUUGAAUUUUCGAAAAACAACCUUCGGACCAAUGUUUCGAGUACAAUCCACGAAGGCUCGAAUAAAAAUUCCUCCAUCCACGUCAUCAUGGGUGACGACAGUCCUUUGACGUUAACAAUGUUCGGACGACUGGUUACUACGAAUGUAUCGAGUGCGAUUAACACGAAAUUGAUGUGUCUUUAUUUAUAUACAAUAUUUACAAACGUAUAUUCAAUCGUGCCGCCUUAAAUAUAUAUUGUCGUACUCUUUCGCGAAACGAAAAAAAAAUAAGAUAACAAUAAUGUUAAUAUUUUACGAAUAGAGAAAAAAAACGUAAAAUCCAAA